ACAAACAAUAAACAAUGAAAAUUCAACUUAUUAUUAUGAAACAUUAUUUCACCAUUCUCACAUCAACAGUUCUUUUUCUGGUGUAUGUUUUAUUUUCAUCAUAUUAGUUUUAAGGUGUGGAUUUUGAGAGUUAUUGUUGCAUUAAAGGACCUGCACACCCAUGACACACUCACACAGGUGAUUAAAAUCAUUUUGGCUGAUUUGAUGUCCUGUCAGGACUGUGUGGGCAUGUAGAGAUCUCCCUCACUCUCCUGUUAGCUUGGGGGGAAGAGUUAUCAUUAUCAUUCUUAUUAGUACAGCAAGUACUAAUAAGAAUAAACCCGAGCAGAGGUCUAAUAAUAAAUGAGAAAAAGUGAGCGCAGAGCCUUUAAGAGGCCAUGUUUGGUUCAUUUGUUUUAUAGACCUUUUUCAUGACUUUCUGGGACACUUACAUGGAACUGAGCCCUCGUUAAUGUUAUCAGUUCCACCUGGGAUUUUCAUGCUAUGACAAGUCCAAAUGUCAAUGAAAAGGUCUACUGGCAGGCACUGGAGAUUUUAGCAGAGUGAAGGGGAUGUAAUAUUACCCAUAUAGUAUAUAGAUUUGAGACAUUUUAAUACAUUUAUUAAAGUAUGGAAAUAAGACAAUCUAUAGAAUUAGACUGUAAAACAUUUUAAAUGUAGCGUGAGCAACACCGACCGCAUUUACUAUUUAACAAAAUGUGAUACGGGUUUAUGCUGAAGAAUGUGUGUUUGUGUGUGAAAGAAAAACAGAAAAAGACAGGUCGUUGCAGAGGAUGUGGUAGAGGUUAAGAGACAGAAUCCCUUUGUCAUACAGGACUACAAUGAUUACCGUCAGGUAGCGUAUAAUGGCUUUUCUACUGAAAACAGCUGCCUGCUGCUGGAAACGAGGUACCAAAACGUUCCAUGGAGCUGAGGGGAACUGCAGUGUCGGGUCUCUGGGUUUUUUACUAUGAGCAACUCCUUUCACAUUACACUUAUACAUUUCACCCUUUGUUAAUAUACAAAUAUUGAAAGAUGCAGCUGUAAUGAUUAUAACUUAAAGGACCAUACCUGAAAAUCUACUACAAUGCAUGUACACUUUCAAUUAUUGCUAAUCCUUUUUUAAGUUUUUGAUGAGUGAUUGUUGAAUAGUGUUGUACGCAGCCAUUGGUUUGUAUUCAUGUCUCUUUUGCAUGAAAUCAACUCGAAUGGAAACAAAUGGCUGCCUGCAAGGUAGGAGAAACUCAAUUCAAAACUGGCACUGAUCAGCAGAGCUCAACAGCAGUCAGCUUUUAUGGAAAGUAAGUGUCAACCUCCUCCUGGACACAACACACAGUCCAGGAUGCAGAGUAAGAUUUAACAUUCAUAUAUUGUUACAAGGUAAAUAACUAUUAACUUUACUUUGCAUAUAAACUGCCAAUUCCAAAUAAGUCAGUCAGGAUUAGAGAAAUACAUUUGAUUCAUGUAUUUAUUUAAAAUAAAUCAGAUUUGUACAAACUUACAAGAAUCCCAAAGCUUGAGUUUUUGUCUGUUUGAAUGCAAUAGCUCUGUGAUUGGUUGGUCAUCUGUUGAUGCAGGUUGUGACAGCCAGCUCUCUGAUUGGCUGUUGGUGUAAUGAUGCAGGUAUGACUCAUCUUCUAUUCUGAGCGGUGAGAGAGGUGACCGAGGUUUUGACCUUCCGUCUCCUUGGUGACCGCUGUGAUGUCAUAACCCCUCCACACAUUCACUGUUGUCAUCCUGCUCUUCCGUCUGUCUCUCCAAUCUACUCAGAUGUCUCUCGCCGAUCAUAAAGUUCAGAAGUUCAGAGUGAGCAAUGAGGAGAGAGAGAUACAUGGAAAGGAAUACAGAGACUGAGUCGAAUAACGCCAAGACUGUAAUCAAAGCCAGCCUCAUUCUUUACUCACUGUUACAUCAUCUACACACUCCUACAACAAGGGCAAGUUGAACUGUUUUACUCACAAACUGAUGGACUGAAUGAACUUUGACAGCCUGGCCAAAAGUAUGUAGACACUUGAACAUUACACCCACAUGUGAUUCUUAAUCAUUUUAUUCCAAAACCAUGGGCAUUAAUCUGCAGCCUCCACUCUUCUGGGAAGGCUUUCCACAAGAUUUUGGAUCUCACUAUGUUGGGCCAUAAGGGCUCUGUGCAUGGCUAGCCAACUUCUUCCACACCAAAUUUUACACGGGUAUUCAUACACUUUUGGCCUAAUAGUGUGACAUACUGUGGGAUUGUAGUGAGUCUGCACUAAAUUAAAUGACUGUACCGCCCUCUACUGGAGAAUGGAACAAAUAACAAACUAGGACACAAAAUCCUGUAGCAGGGCUCUCAGUUUAUACAAUGUAUAUGGCUUAAACAGACUAUUGCUUUUGCUGUAGUGGAAUUAUUGUGCACAUGCUGACAUGUACAGUAAAUAAACCUAAAUGCAUAUUUUAUAUUAUUUUA